ACCCUGAGAUGCUGGGCCCUGAGCUUCUACCCUGCGGAGAUCUCACUGACCUGGCAACGUGAUGGGGAGGACCAGGCCCAGGACACGGAGCUCGUGGAGACCAGGCCUGCAGGGGACGGGACCUUCCAGAAGUGGGCGGCCCUGGUGGUGCCUCCUGGAGAGGAGCAGAGAUACACGUGCCAUGUGCAGCACAAGGGGCUUCAGGAGCCCCUCAGCCUGAGAUGCGAGCCACGCCCUCCCAGGGACCUGGGAUUUCGCCCUGAUCCCUCCCCUCCAGCACGGAGAGCUCUUUGUCACAGUCUCUCUAGGUCCCGGCCCAGGGCUGUGUGUCCCUGCCUGAUGUUGAAGUUCUGUGAGGUGACUUAUGUCCACAGCAAAAUAACAUGGCUGAAUGGGGAGCACCAGCCCCGCUUCUGAGAACACUGAGUAAUGGAAUUUCUGUGGCAGAAGAGCUCAGUCAGAAGUGAUGGGUCUGGAGGAGAGGAUCAGAAUGUGCGUCCUGACACAUGAGCUGAUGAUGAUCUGUCAAGUGCUUCACAAGUGUAAGGAUAUUAAUGUCAUCUUUUGAAAGCAUUAUUUAUGAGCAGACAAGAGAACUGAAAAGAUACUCAAGAAUAUACAAAAAUGAGGGACUGUCACAACCACAGAGCCUGAAGGAGACUUGAU